rnacentral:rRNA from 1 species
GAACGGGUGCGUAACACGUGAGCAACCUACCGAAAUGCGGGGGAUAGCCGGCCUAACGGCCGAGUAAUACCGCAUACGGUUGCCGAGGGGAGUCCCUUGGCAAAGAAACCUCCGGGGCACAGAGAGGGGCUCGCGGCCUAUCAGCUAGUUGGUGAGGUAAUGGCUCACCAAGGCGACGACGGGUAGCUGGUCUGAGAGGAUGGCCAGCCACAUUGGGACUGAGAUACGGCCCAG